GAUGAACGCUGGCGGCGUGCUUAACACAUGCAAGUCGAACGAAGCACUUUAUUUGAUUUCCAUCGGGACUGAUUAUUUUGUGACUGAGUGGCGGACGGGUGAGUAACGCGUGGGUAACCUGCCUUGUACAGGGGGAUAACAGUUGGAAACGGCUGCUAAUACCGCAUAAGCGCACGGCAUCGCAUGAUGCAGUGUGAAAAACUCCGGUGGUAUAAGAUGGACCCGCGUUGGAUUAGCUAGUUGGUGAGGUAACGGCCCACCAAGGCGACGAUCCAUAGUCGACCUGAGAGGGUGACCGGCCACAUUGGGACUGAGACACGGCCCAAACUCCUACGGGAGGCAGCAGUGGGGAAUAUUGCACAAUGGGCGAAAGCCUGAUGCAGCGACGCCGCGUGAGCGAAGAAGUAUUUCGGUAUGUAAAGCUCUAUCAGCAGGGAAGAUAAUGACG
rnacentral:rRNA from 1 species